UAUGAGUACCAAAGAUGACAUAAGGAAUAACACAAGCAAUAUAGGGUUUCCAUCAGUAGUCCAAGUUGCCACCAAUGUUUUUGCUGUUUGUGGACCAGCAAGUGCCUCUUCCCCAAUCAGAUAUACCCAUGUAAUCCAAUUGGAUGCUGACUCAUAUAGGUGCAUGGCAAAAGGCUGCAAAACACUAUCAAGACAAGGUUCUGGAAAGCAACAAAUAUACCAAGCUAUGCAUCCAUAAGCAUAUGCUAUUGUGUGCAACACGUAUGUCCACAAACAAUCCUUCUAUUGGAAACACCAGCCUACCAACAUCAACUGAGAGUGUGGUAUAUCCAACCCCAACCCAAAGUAGCUGUGAUGCCAUACGCCAAGCCACUCUCAAUGCAAAUGGCCAGCGGACGAUACCGUAUGAAAUACCCAUUGAAUGGUUGGAUCAUGCCAGAAAGUGUGAUUCCUCAACACUUUUGGGGAUUAAGGAGGGUGGCUGGCCAUUAGUUUUUCAGCCUGAUUACUCCAUUUGCAGUCAGUGCAAUAAUGUUCUUGGUGAUCCAAAACGACAUCCUGGAAGUAAAGGAGAUUCUGUAAUGAUGACUAAUGGAGAAACCCUUUUCGAAAGUGCUCCAUUAAAGUGAAGUCUUGCAAAAAUUCUGAUUGCAAGGCUCUUCACCAAAUAUAGCCUGUAGAAAUAGGUCUAUUCAAUACAUGUAUCUGCGACAAGAUUUUUCUUGGAUUAGAGGUGUUGCUGGAAUGGAGGGAACUUUUUAAGCGUGGUGUGCCAGUUUCAACAACCAUUGAAAGCAAGCUAUAUGCAUGGUGUAAACAAUGUCCCAAGCAUUGGCAUGGCAACUAGCCAACGACGCUGACAAAGAAAAAUGCUGGCUCAGGAGACAAGAUUUUCCACGUGCUCAACUUCGUCGCUGGUAUAUGUAUUAAUACUGCCAAGAAUAGCUCUGAAGUUGAGGGAAAUGAUCCCUUUGAACAGCUAUCAGGAACACACCAAGCACAUACAACUAUUACAUGAGAGAUUUUUACAAUAGAAAAAAAGGCUCAUUCCUAUUGUGCAAAAAACAGUUGUACUGUCAAGUGUUAGUCCAUGAUACUAUUGAUGCAUCCCAGAUGUCAUUGUCACUUUAUUCAUUAUUCACUUAAUUCUUUAUGAGUCCUUAAUAGAAUUAUUGAAGACAACUGAGUUUUUGUCAGAAAAAUUAUUGGACCUUGAACCAAACAUCAUUAAAAAUAUGUUUAUAGAUUUACAAUAAAAUGUAAAAUUUAAUACCAACACCAAAAUUUUAACACUGUAACAUGCCUUACAUCAAAAUAAGCCUAUUUUUGAUAUUGACAAAGUCAAUAGUGCUUUAUCAUUUCUGUACGCAAAAUUG